rnacentral:rRNA from 1 species
UACGAAGGGUGCAAGCGUUACUCGGAAUUACUGGGCGUAAAGCGUGCGUAGGUGGUCUGUUAAGUCUGAUGUGAAAGCCCUGGGCUCAACCUGGGAAUUGCAUUGGAUACUGGCAGGCUAGAGUGCGGUAGGGGAGACUGGAAUUCCUGGUGUAGCGGUGAAAUGCGCAGAUAUCAGGAGGAACACCGGUGGCGAAAGCGGCUUCCUGGUCCAGCACCGACGUCAGGCACGAAAGCGUGGGGAGCAAACAGGG